rnacentral:rRNA from 1 species
UACGGGGGGGGCAAGCGUUGUUCGGAAUUACUGGGCGUAAAGGGCUCGUAGGUGGCCAACUAAGUCAGACGUGAAAUCCCUCGGCUUAACCGGGGAACUGCGUCUGAUACUGGAUGGCUGGAGUGUGGGAGAGGGAUGCGGAAUUCCAGGUGUAGCGGUGAAAUGCGUAGAUAUCUGGAGGAACACCGGUGGCGAAGGCGGCAUCCUGGCCUGUUCUUGACGCUGAGGCGCGAAAGCUAGGGGAGCAAACGGG